rnacentral:tRNA from 1 species
GGCCGGCAUAGUCGAAGAUGGUCUCGGUGAUGACGACACCGCCCAUCAUCACCGCCAGUUCCAUGCCGGCGAUGGUCGC